ensembl:misc_RNA
UUGACAGCCCUGGAGACUGAUGUGCUAAUUAUCCUCAGAACGGGUGCACAUGGGCAUUUUGCUGCCCAUGUGACUCAACCCAGCGCUGGAGAGCCCAAUUCUCAGAUUAGAUGGUAGUUCAUAUAAAGCCUUCUCAAACUGCCGUCAUUCUACCGAGACA